GGGACUGUAGCUCAGUGGUAGAGCACUUGCCUAACAUGCAUGAGACUCUGGGUUCAAUCCUCAGUACUGCAA
rnacentral:tRNA from 1 species